rnacentral:rRNA from 1 species
ACCUCAAAUCAGGUAAGAAUACCCGCUGAACUUAAGCAUAUCAAUAAGCGGAGGAAAAGAAAAUAACAAUGAUUCCCUCAGUAACGGCGAGCGAAGAGGGAUAAGCUCAAAUUUUUAAAUCUGUUGGGUUCCACUUAACAGAGUUGUAUUUUUGAAGAAACGUUUUCUGCAUCCAGGAUUAGCUUAAAUCCUUUGGAAUAAGAUAUCAUGGAGGGUGAGAAUCCCGUUCAUGGUUAAUCUUAAGGAAGCUCUACGAUACGUUUUCCAAGAGUCGAGUUGUUUGGGAUUGCAGCUCAAAAUGGGAGGUAAAUUUCUCCUAAGGCUAAAUAUUGGCGAGAGACCGAUAGCGAACAAGUACCGUGAGGGAAAGAUGAAAAGAACUUUGAAAAGAGAGUUAAAUAGUACGUGAAAUUGUUGAAAGGGAAACGAUUGAAGUCAGUCAUACUAACGGGAAAUCAACCUUUUGAGCUUGGUCUCGUGGGUUUUGAAGAGUUUUAAAGCCUUCGGAUUCGCGGGAUUGGGAUCUCUUGGUGUACUUUUUCAUACGGUUAGUCAACAUCGGUUUUGAAUGUCAUAAAAUGACUGGAGGAAUGUAGUUUCGAUCUUGUAUUGAAGUAUUAUAGCCUUUGGUAGAUGUGAUGUUUGAGACUGAGGAUUGCAACGGAUACCCUUCAGGGUUAUUCGUCUGAUCUCUGAUACGUUAUCUUGAUGUUAAAAGCUUGCUUAUGAUGUUAAGGUAUUACGGUCAAAAGGUUAGAAUGAAUUAGAUUCGUUAAGGAUGUUGACGUAAUGACUUUAAAUGACCCGUCUUGAAACACGGACCAAGGAGUCUAACAUAUAUGCGAGUGUUA